rnacentral:rRNA from 1 species
GAGACUNGAAUUCCUGGUGUAGCGGUNGAAUGCGCAGAUAUCAGGAGGAACACCGAUGGCGAAGGCAGGUCUCUGGGCUGUNACUGACGCUGAGGAGCGAAAGCAUGGGGAGCGAACAGGAUUAGAUACCCUGGUAGUCCAUGCCGUAAACGUUGGGCACUAGGUGUGGGGACCAUUCCACGGUUUCCGCGCCGCAGCUAACGCAUUAAGUGCCCCGCCUGGGGAGUACGGCCGCAAGGCUAAAACUCAAAGGAAUUGACGGGGGCCCGCACAAGCGGCGGAGCAUGCGGAUUAAUUCGAUGCAACGCGAAGAACCUUACCAAGGCUUGACAUGUUCUCGAUCGCCGUAGAGAUACGGUUUCCCCUUUGGGGCGGGUUCACAGGUGGUGCAUGGUUGUCGUCAGCUCGUGUCGUGAGAUGUUGGGUUAAGUCCCGCAACGAGCGCAACCCUCGUUCCAUGUUGCCAGCACGUAAUGGUGGGGACUCAUGGGAGACUGCCGGGGUCAACUCGGAGGAAGGUGAGGACGACGUCAAAUCAUCAUGCCCCUUAUGUCUUGGGCUUCACGCAUGCUACAAUGGCCGGUACAAUGGGUUGCGAUACUGUGAGGUGGAGCUAAUCCCAAAAAGCCGGUCUCAGUUCGGAUUGGGGUCUGCAACUCGACCCCAUGAAGUCGGAGUCGCUAGUAAUCG